rnacentral:rRNA from 1 species
UAGAGUUUGAUCAUGGCUCAGAUUGAACGCUGGCGGCAGGCCUAACACAUGCAAGUCGAGCGGUAGAGAGAAGCUUGCUUCUCGCUGACGAGCGGCGGACGGGUGAGUAAUGCCUAGGAAUCUGCCUGGUAGUGGGGGAUAACGUUCGGAAACGGACGCUAAUACCGCAUACGUCCUACGGGAGAAAGCAGGGGACCUUCGGGCCUUGCGCUAUCAGAUGAGCCUAGGUCGGAUUAGCUAGUUGGUGAGGUAAUGGCUCACCAAGGCGACGAUCCGUAACUGGUCUGAGAGGAUGAUCAGCCACACUGGAACUGAGACACGGUCCAGACUCCUACGGGAGGCAGCAGUGGGGAAUAUUGGACAAUGGGCGAAAGCCUGAUCCAGCCAUGCCGCGUGUGUGAAGAAGGUCUUCGGAUUGUAAAGCACUUUAAGUUGGGAGGAAGGGUUGUAGAUUAAUACUCUGCAAUUUUGACGUUACCGACAGAAUAAGCACCGGCUAACUCUGUGCCAGCAGCCGCGGUAAU